rnacentral:rRNA from 1 species
GACGAACCGUGCGAACGUUGUUCGGAAUCACUGGGCUUAAAGGGCGCGUAGGCGGGCUCGCAAGUCCGGGGUGAAAGCCCCCAGCUCAACUGGGGAAGCGCCUUGGGUACUGCGGGCCUCGAGGGGGUAGGGGCGCGCGGAACUUCCGGUGGAGCGGGUGAAAUGCGUAGAUAUCGGAAGGAACACCGGUGGCGAAAGCGGCGCGCUGGACCCCUUCUGACGCUGAGGCGCGAAAGCGUGGGGAGCAAACAGG